ACGCCUCCGCUUCUGGCUCUCGUGCCGCCAGGAAAAAGCGGUCCGCCUCCUCAGCCAAGGCGCGGGGGUCUGUGAUGGCCGUGUUGGCCAGCGCCGUCUGGACCCGGGGUGGCAAGCGGCGCAGGAAAACCUCCAUGAACAAUAUCUGGGGAUCUUCCCCCCCGAGCAGAUUCAGCAUUUUCUCCAUGAGAUGAGACGGUCUGCUGUCCCCCAGGCUCUGAAUGUCAAGAAUCUGGCGGGCUCUCUCCUUAGCAGAUAAGCUAAAUGUCUUAAGGAGGAGCUCUUUAAUCGCCUCGUAUUUGCCCUGUAGCGGGGGAGCAGCGAUGAAUCCCACCAACCUGGACGAUGUGGAACUUCCCAGCGCCGUUACCACUAGGUAGUAUUUUGCGUCCCCGUCACGGACCUGACGGCAGGCGAAGUGUGCCUCCACGUGGGCAAACCAUGCCUCCGCCGCAUUCUCCCAAAACUCCGGCAACUUUACAUAAACAUCACGCUCUGCCAUGUUCACUAAGUUUCUGGAAACUUUCCUAGAAACGUCAGGGUCACCACUGUAGUACCGGAGAUACGGAGUCGGAGGCGGAGUAUUCAGGAUCGAAUUCCAAUCUUUAAUAUCCAUACAGGCAGAGAACCUUAACAACACAACUGCCUAGCAUAGCGAGUUAGCAGGAAUGACCUGCCUCCCCCUGUGUUACCACUUAAUCAGUCCGUGUGGCAACACUAUUCCUAAAGGUGAAUUAUGUUACAUUACGUGUCACCACAAUAUACCGUAUAUCGUUAUUUGUAUAUGUGUAUUACGUUAUUUAUUACAUGCAUAAUUGUAAUACUUUGUCAGCUCAUCUUGCUGCACUGUCUGUUUCAGGGUGUCUUCAUCUCUGUCAUUAAACCCUUAAACUGACAUUGAGGAGUGUGUUUCUUCAGUGCUCCCUGGUACUGCAGGGCUUUGUAAUAACAGAGGGUCUCAAUCUACCCGGCCCAUCAUAACACAGGGCUCUCAAGUUUUGAAGACAGGCAAGCGUGAGAUUUCCAUCAGCACCUGAUACAGCUGACCGUUGCGCGCCGGCAUCCAUCCCAAUGCGCGCAGACCGGCGUCGGAGCUCUGCAGCGGAACAAUCGAUCGGCGUAUGGAGCACCCCUGCAUUCAAGCAUUAAAUAGCCGAGAGGUUUUUUCAGCGUGAGGAAUUCGAUGUGUGGCGGGAGUGCGUGAGAUGAGACCGAAAUGCGUGAGACUUGAGAGCCCUUAUAACAUGUUGGGCCGGAGGACACGUCACAUGUCGGCUGUGUUCUGGAACAACAAUGUUUAUGGAUAUAUUUCAUGGCGCUGCAGGUCUAACGAAUGCUGCCUUCAAGUGCUGUCGGAAAUGUCGGAAUGCCGCCGCUGUUCUGAAGGAAGGACGAAUGGGAUGAACGAGGGAGCUGGGACGAUAAUACGGGAUUGAAGGAGCUGUGAUGCGGCUGGGCGGAGAGCCGUAAGCCUGAGACACACCGCGUCAUCAUCAGAGACACGUUGAUGAGGCCAUGGCUCAGGCCGAAUAAUAAUCAAAAUAAUAACAAUAAUAACAACAACAAUAACAAUAAUAAUAACAACAAUAAUUAUAAUAACAACAAUUACAUUUAUAAUAAUAACAAUAACAACAAUUAGAAUAACAACAACAAUAAUAACAAUAUUAACAAUAAUAAUAAUUAUAAUUAGAAUAACAAUAAUUAGAAUAAUAACAAUAACAAUUAUUUGUAUGAUAAUAAUUAUAAUAAUUAUUAUAAUUAUACCUGGAUGGACUGGCGGCCUGUCCAGGGUGUCCCUGCCUUCGCCCUGUGUCAGCUGGGAUCGGCUCCAGCGCCCCGCGACUCUAAUGAGGAUGAAGCGGUAUUGAUAAUGGAUGGAUGGAUUAUAAAUAUAAUUAUAAUUAUAGUCUCAGGCUGACUCGUGGUCCUAUGCACAAACGUCCGAUUUUGGAAGAGAGGCUUGAAAUGGUUGUAAAAUAACCGCUUGGUGUUUCAGGUGAGUCCCCCGGGGGAACUCCGCAUUUGACCCCUGAUAACUAUUCAGGGACACAGAACAAUACACUUGUAUACCUUGUAUAUAUAUUUGUAUUCCUCUGUAUAUUUAACAUUGUAACUGUAUUCUGUAUUGUAUUUGUAUUUGUAUUACUGCUCUGUGCACCCACUGAGGGACUAAUACGGGAAUAUCUGACCUGAUCUUUAGGCACCAUCCAACUGCAGUCCUGAGGCCAGGCGGUUUAUUUAUAGGGUUAAGUAUACAUACAAUCGUCAAUAAUCUACUUUACUUUAGACAUUGGAUUAUUGUUCUGUUUUCACAGGGCAGCUAGCUCAAUUCCACUUAAUUUGACUGUUUAUACAUUAUGUAUUACUAUGGUUAAUAUAGCUUCAAAGAAUAAUCUAUUAAACUCUGACGCCACCACGUGGAUAUUAUGAUGUACUUGCAACAGGAAUCCCAUCUUCAUCUCGUAUGUCCUCUCACUACGCUGAGAGUGACGUAAGACUCAUUGGGCACUUCAAAGAUGUGAUUAAUUACACACCUGUACAGCAGUGAACGAGAGUAACACACAUCCAUUACAUCAUUGUUGUGGAUGUGUGUGCUCCUAAAGGUGUGAAUUAAACAUGUGUAUUUGUUGGUGUAUAAAUCCUAUCAGGCGAGCCCAGUUUAUGCAGAUUAGUAGAUAGUUCAAUGUGAUGUAACAGAGUUGUGAUGUAACAGGUUUGUGAUGUAACAGGGUUGUGAUGUAACAGAGUUGUGAUGUAAUAGGGUUGUGAUGUAACAGGGUUGUGAUGUUAUAGGGUUGUGAUGUAACAGGGUUGUGCUCUCGUUCGGGUCCCGUUCAGGAAACUGUUCUGACUUUUUAUAAAAACGUUCCUCACUUUU